GUGGGGAAUAUUGCACAAUGGGCGCAAGCCUGAUGCAGCAACGCCGCGUGAGGGACGACGGCCUUCGGGUUGUAAACCUCUUUUAGCAGGGAAGAAGCGAAAGUGACGGUACCUGCAGAAAAAGCACCGGCUAACUACGUGCCAGCAGCCGCGGUAAUACGUAGGGUGCAAGCGUUGUCCGGAAUUAUUGGGCGUAAAGAGCUCGUAGGCGGUUUGUCGCGUCUGCUGUGAAAACCCGAGGCUCAGCCUCGGGCCUGCAGUGGGUACGGGCAGACUAGAGUGCGGUAGGGGAGAUUGGAAUUCCUGGUGUAGCGGUGGAAUGCGCAGAUAUCAGGAGGAACACCGAUGGCGAAGGCAGAUCUCUGGGCCGUAACUGACGCUGAGGAGCGAAAGCGUGGGGAGCGAACAGGAUUAGAUACCCUAGUAGUCC
rnacentral:rRNA from 1 species